rnacentral:lncRNA from 1 species
CCUCAGUCUCUAUGAUAAUUUCUUCAUGUCUUCUCCAGGGGCCAGGGGGCCUUGCUUAUAUAGUCCUCCCCUUCUAUGCGUUUUUGGGUCGAUAGACGAGGUGGUACUAUGUUUUUCUUGAUCCAAUAGGUCGGUGGAAUAUCCCGAACGAAAGAGUCCUGAUUUGGCUCCAGCAGGGGGGCGGGCGCCCAGGCUUCCAGGGCGGGCGCCCUGGGCCUGGCCCAGUUUUGCCUCCGCUUCGGUCUCGUGGCU